rnacentral:snRNA from 8 species
AUCGCUUCUCGGCCUUUUGGCUCAGAUCAAGUGUAGUAUCUGUUCUUAUCAGUUUAAUAUCUGAUACGUCCCCCAUCGGGGGACUACAUAUUAAAUGGAUUUUUCGAACAGGGAGUCGGAAAUGGGGCUUGCUCCGUCCGCUCCACGCAUCGACCCGAGUAUUGCAGUACCUCCGGGAA